rnacentral:rRNA from 1 species
UACGUAGGGUGCAAGCGUUGUCCGGAAUUAUUGGGCGUAAAGAGCUCGUAGGCGGUCUGUCGCGUCGGCUGUGAAAACUCGGGGCUCAACCCCGAGCCUGCAGUCGAUACGGGCAGACUAGAGUCCGGCAGGGGAGACUGGAAUUCCUGGUGUAGCGGUGAAAUGCGCAGAUAUCAGGAGGAACACCAGCGGCGAAGGCGGCAUCCUGGCCCUGUACUGACGCUGAGGCGCGAUAGCGUGGGGAGCAAACGGG